rnacentral:misc_RNA from 1 species
AGAGAGAGAAGGGGGGGAGGGGUGGUGUGAUGGAAAUGGAAGGGCAAUGGGGUAUAAAUUGGGAAUAGAUGAGGGUAAAUUUUGAUUUUAAAAUUUCUCUCUCCUUAGACUUAUUUUUUUUAGCUUGGACUAUUGACAAAACCAUUUUCAAUUGGAUGGAAUGACUAAAUGGUUGACGGACUAAAAAUUUAGGGAUGUGCUAAUGUAAUUGUGAAAAUACAAGGAUUAAAGGCAAUACCCAAGGACUAUUGUGAUUCAUCCUUUCUUUUUUUAUUAACUAAUUGCUGAUCAAGAGCUUAUGUUCGCAGCUAUGGUGGAUCCAUGGUGGUUUCUGUUAAGUGCUGCAAUACCAGCUGUUAUUGCAGGGCAAGCUUUUAGGAUGAAGAAAAAGAGAGCUGAAGAGCAGAGGCUAAAGACUGCCAGAGGACGUGAGAAAAGCUCUGAUGAAAUUUUUGUU